CACGACGCCCCGCAGCCUCUGCCUCCACAACGCUGCUGUUUAGACACAAAAUAACCACUGAACUCUGUAAGACUAGGGCUUGCCUUGUUGUAGUCUGUCACUGUGAGGUUGUGUGACCAUAUUCCGAGGAUGGGGGAAAAAUAAUCGUUGUUGCAGUCACAUUUACCUAGAUCCAGCCACACGCUGAUGAUCUGAGUGACCGGUGUAAACCCCUCCACUCCUUUAAUUUCCUUCCACUGAGAUGAAGCUUGAAGCGUUCUCCAAAAGAAUUGUGCUUGAAUCCCUCAGCUUAUAUGACUGGAUAACUGAAACAAUUUGAAGUCUGUUUUUACUAGAACCUGAUCACCACCUAACUGAAUGAAGAAACUGAGGACUGUUUGAAACUUCCUUGGACAUUAAUAGGUUGACUGCUAUGUCACUGAACUUGGUGCAUGAAAGGUCAGCCUUUGAAAAGCUAAAUAAGGAUUAACUCUGACCAAGGUCAGAGCAACUAGUCACCAGUAUUCUUCAUGGGAGAGUCAGGCCUCCUGCAUCCCUGAGAAAUACCACCUGAAAUACCCACCUACACACAGGAGUUUAACAGGGAGUUUUGCAGCAUCAGAAUUGUGUGCUGUAUAGCUGAGAUCAGAUCUCUGUCUACUUUGGUGGCCAUAACCGAGACUCAGGAGUUUAUGCCUCUGAGUGCCCUCCUGCAGAGCAAGCUACCUACAUGCUUCAUAGGGGAGAAGUAACUGCUCUCAGCUCUGAUUUGUAGACAAUCUGAAGUUCCCAGAAAUAGCUUGGUUACCACUUGUGCUUGGGCAGGGUGAAGCAAUGGAAUAAAAUAUAUCCUUGUCCAUUGCUUGUGUGCCUUGAGCAAAACAAGCUGUGUUUAGUCACAAGUUCACCAGAUGGUACUCUGGGGGUUAUUGCUGUUAUAUUACAUUACUGCAAUAUAUUAGAUGAGGUGCA